GUGGAAUGGGACUUGGUGAGGUGGAGUGAGGUGAGGUGGGUUGUUUGGGGUUGGGUUUCAUGUGAACGAUCAUUUUCCGCGGUCUGGGCUCACGCGACCGCGGGGAAGCCAUGCCUAGCCGCGUCCAGGAGUAUGGGGUUGUGGUCGAUGCUUCCUUUCCUGCAGUCCGAAUGUACGCGACUGCAUGGACUUAAAUGCGGCAUGUUUCC
rnacentral:lncRNA from 1 species